rnacentral:rRNA from 1 species
UCAGGCCUAACACAUGCAAGUCGAACGAAGUAGCAAUACUUAGUGGCAGACGGGUGAGUAACAUGUAGGUAUCUGCCCUUUGGCCUGGAAUAACACGAGGAAACUUGUGCUAAUACCGGAUAAGUCUUUACGGAGAAAGCUUUAUGCACCAUUGGAUGAGCCUGCACUUGAUUAGUUUGUUGGUGGGGUAAUGGCCUACCAAGACUGUGAUCAAUAGCUGAUUUGAGAGGAUGAUCAGCCACAUUGGGACUGAGACACGGCCCAAACUCCUACGGGAGGCAGCAGUGGGGAAUCUUGCACAAUGGAGGAAACUCUGAUGCAGCGAUGCCGCGUGAGUGAAGAAGGCCCUUGGGUUGUAAAGCUCUUUCGUCGGGGAAGAAAAUGACUGCACCCGAAUAAGAAGGUCCGGCUAACUUCGUGCCAGCAGCCGCGGUAAUACGAAGGGACCUAGCGUAGUUCGGAAUUACUGGGCUUAAAGAGUUCGUAGGUGGUUGAAAAAGUUGGUGGUGAAAUCCCAGAGCUUAACUCUGGAACUGCCAUCAAAACUUUUCAGCUAGAGUAUGAUAGAGGAAAGCAGAAUUUCUAGUGUAGAGGUGAAAUUCGUAGAUAUUAGAAAGAAUACCAAUUGCGAAGGCAGCUUUCUGGAUCAUUACUGACACUGAGGAACGAAAGCAUGGGUAGCGAAGAGGAUUAGAUACCC